rnacentral:misc_RNA from 1 species
UGUGGGAGGGGGCUUGCUCCCGAUAGCGGUGUGUCAGUGGCAUAGGUGUUGACUGACACACUGCUAUCGGGAGCAAGCCCCCUCCCACA